rnacentral:rRNA from 1 species
CCUACGGGAGGCAGCAGUGAGGAAUAUUGGUCAAUGGGCGAGAGCCUGAACCAGCCAAGUCGCGUGAGGGAGUACUGCCCUAUGGGUUGUAAACCUCUUUUGUCGGGGAGCAAAAGCCGGACGUGUCCGGCUGUGAGAGUACCCGAAGAAAAAGCAUCGGCUAACUCCGUGCCAGCAGCCGCGGUAAUACGGAGGAUGCGAGCGUUAUCCGGAUUUAUUGGGGUUAAAGGGUGCGCAGGCGGAUUUUUAAGUCAGCGGUCAAAUCGUGGGGCUCAACCCCAUCCAGCCGUUGAAACUGGGGAUCUAGAGUGUGCGAGAGGUAUGCGGAAUGCGUGGUGUAGCGGUGAAAUGCAUAGAUAUCACGCAGAACCCCGAUUGCGAAAGGCAGCAUACCGGUGCACAACUGACGCUCAGGCACGAAAGCGUGGGUAUCGAACAGGAUUAGAUACCCUUGUAGUC